rnacentral:rRNA from 1 species
UACGUAGGGUGCGAGCGUUAAUCGGAAUUACUGGGCGUAAAGCGUGCGCAGGCGGUUUUGUAAGCCAGAUGUGAAAUCCCCGGGCUUAACCUGGGAAUGGCAUUUGGGACUGCAAGGCUGGAGUACGGCAGAGGAGACUGGAAUUCCUGGUGUAGCAGUGAAAUGCGUAGAGAUGUGGAGGAAUACCGAUGGCGAAGGCAGCCCCCUGGGAUAACACUGACGCUCAUGCACGAAAGCGUGGGGAGCAAACAGG